rnacentral:rRNA from 1 species
UACGUAGGGACCGAGCGUUGUCCGGAUUCAUUGGGCGUAAAGAGCUCGUCGGCGGCUGUUCAAGUCGAACGUGAAAACUCGGAGCUCAACUCCGAGCCUGCGUUCGAUACUGGACGGCUAGAGUCUGGUAGGGGGAUCUGGAAUUCCUGGUGUAGCGGUGGAAUGCGCAGAUAUCAGGAGGAACACCGGUGGCGAAGGCGGCUCUCUGGGCCUUACCUGACGCUGAGGAGCGAAAGCGUGGGUAGCGAACAGG